rnacentral:rRNA from 1 species
CCUACGGGAGGCUGCAGUAGGGAAUCUUCCACAAUGGGCGAAAGCCUGAUGGAGCAACGCCGCGUGGGUGAAGAAGGUCUUCGGAUCGUAAAACCCUGUUGUUAGAGAAGAAAGUGCGUGAGAGUAACUGUUCACGUUUCGACGGUAUCUAACCAGAAAGCCACGGCUAACUACGUGCCAGCAGCCGCGGUAAUACGUAGGUGGCAAGCGUUAUCCGGAUUUAUUGGGCGUAAAGGGAACGCAGGCGGUCUUUUAAGUCUGAUGUGAAAGCCCUCGGCUUAACCGGAGUAGUGCAUUGGAAACUGGGGGACGUGAGUGCAGAAGAGGAGAGUGGAACUCCAUGUGUAGCGGUGAAAUGCGUAGAUAUAUGGAAGAACACCAGUGGCGAAAGCGGCUCUCUGGUCUGUAACUGACGCUGAGGUUCGAAAGCGUGGGUAGCAAACAGGAUUAGAUACCCCGGUAGUC